GACUCGAUAUGGCUGAACUCGAGAAACUAAUGCUCGAAGAUGAAGAAGAAGAAGGCAACAAUGAUGGCUAGUGGUAUUAAAUAGCGUGAUUUUUCACAUGGAUGCUGACGUGGACUGGCCAUGUGGCAUUUUUUGUCCACAUAGAGUGCUUGGUGUCAUUCCGUUAGAGAGAAGGACAUUUUUGAGCCAAAAAUUUAACAGAG
rnacentral:lncRNA from 1 species